UGGCAGCUGUUCCGAUUGUAUCGCUUGCAUGAGAGACCUCUGAGCUUGGCAUCUGAGGAUAACAUCUGUCACUCAUCCAGCACUUUAAGACAAUGAGUACAAAGAAAAUGUAUUGAUUCUGAACGUGGCGUGCCCUUGCUGGCUGGACCCAUGACGGAGGAAAAGUUUGCAGGACUUAUGGCAUGGAGUUGCUUCUUCCAUUCUCCGAUCCAGGCGAAUCCAGCAGAAGGGUGUUUGUAAUUACUGUUUGAAGGAGAAAGGCGAGGAUGGGGCGGUCUUUAUCAGAACAGACACUGGUGCCUCAGUGGGCGUUGUGGUGGAUGGUGUUGGCAUACAGCUGUCAGAGGAUGAGCAUUUGGUCCUUCGAGGCACCAGAGGCCAGCGCCGUCCUGGGGAGUCUGAGCAUUCAGAGCGGAACCCUGUUAGUGAGGGAGAGCAGAACCCCUUUAGCUCUUCUAAAGUGCUGGUUUCAAAAACAGGGCCAGCUAAUCACCCGUGAACGCAGAGGAGGGAUCCUUGUGGAGAAUCUGGAGGAGCUUGAGAGAAGCUAUGAAUUUAUUCACUGCAAAAAAUCAUUCAUAAAUCAGUAUUUUCUUUGUCUUGCUCUUCAUAUCUAAAAAUCCUUUAGAUAAGAAGUUAAGACUUGCUUCAUAAAUUUUGUAACAAAUCUGUAAUUAAAUUUAUGCUAGAAACAAACAAAAAGCCAUUGUGGCAAGAAAAUAAACUUAAUAAAAAUAUACAUAUUAUAAAUUAUACACACAUACAUGUAUACACUACUGUAAAGUUUGAGGUUGAUCCAUUUUUAAAAAUGUUUUUUUUUUUUAAUCAAAAUUCUAAUGGCAAUAUUGUUGAAUAUUUCUACAAUUAAACUUUUUUUUCUAUUCAAAUUUAUUUUAAAAUGUAAUUUAUUUCUAUGAUGCAAAGCUGAGUUUUCAGCAUCAUUACUCCAGUCUUCAGUGUCACAUGAUGCUUCAGGAAUCAUUCUAAUUUACUGAUUUGCUAUUUAAGAAACAUUUCUUAUUAUUGUAAA
ensembl:lncRNA